GGAGUUAGCCGGUGCUUCUUCUGUGAGUGAUGUCCUUCCUGCCGGCUAUUAACCCGCAGGCCUUCUUCCUCACUGAAAGUGCUUUACAACCCGAAGGCCUUCUUCACACACGCGGCAUGGCUGGAUCAGGGUUGCCCCCAUUGUCCAAUAUUCCCCACUGCUGCCUCCCGUAGGAGUAUGGGCCGUGUCUCAGUCCCAGUGUGGCUGAUCAUCCUCUCAGACCAGCUACGGAUCGUCGCCUUGGUGAGCCGUUACCUCACCAACCAGCUAAUCCGACAUAGGCUCAUCCGAUAGCGCGAGGCCCGAAGGUCCCCCGCUUUCCCCCGUAGGGCGUAUGCGGUAUUAGCCUGGGUUUCCCCAGGUUAUCCCCCACUACCGGGCAGAUUCCUAUGCAUUACUCACCCGUCCGCCGCUCGCCACCAGGGAGCAAGCUCCCCGUGCUGCCGCUCGACUUGCAUGUGUUAGGCCUGCCGCCAGCGUUCAAUCUGAGCCAUAAUCAAACUCUGA
rnacentral:rRNA from 1 species